GAGUAACGACGUGAGCUAACCUGCCCUUUUCUCUGGGAUAAGAGCUGGGAAACUGGGUCUAAUACCGGAUACGACCAUCUGGCGCAUGUCAUGGUGGUGGAAAGCUUUUGUGGUUUUGGAUGGACUCGCGGCCUAUCAGCUUGUUGGUGGGGUAAUGGCCUACCAAGGCGACGACGGGUAGCCGGCCUGGAGGGUGACCGGCCACACUGGGACUGAGACACGGACCAGACUCCUACGGGAGGCAGCAGUGGGGAAUAUUGCACAAUGGGCGCAAGCCUGAUGCAGCGACGCCGCGUGAGGGAUGACGGACUUCGGGUACGAUAAACCUCUUUCAGUAGGGAAGAAGCGAAAGUGACGGUACCUGCUGAAGAAGCGCCGGCUAACUACGUGCCAGCUGCCGACGGUAAUACGUA
rnacentral:rRNA from 1 species